GAGAUUUUUGAAGUAGGUUUUGCUGUUGAUAACACAAUCAGGCAUAUAACAUGGUGCAGACUGUCCAAGACAGCUACCCAGGAAUUUUCUGUGCUGAAUAAAUGACAAUAUUUUGGUGAUUGUCUUGUUUAGAUAUCUGAAAAAUUUCAUCGGAUCACAAUCAAAGACCUCCUGGGGACCUUCAAUGCAUCCCUUGACAAAUUUGUGCCUGGCCUGCUGAAACUGUACCGGUCUAAGAAGGGAGUUCUUUGUGAGGAGAUGGAAGACCUCCUGGAUAAACUUGAUGAACAGACAUCCAACAUUGUGUCCAACUUGCACUGAGAGGCCUGCCCAUUUUCCUCAAGAGAAGAUGCAACAGAGGUUUUCCUGAAGUGCUUAGACACUGACAUUUUGGAACCAGUGUUGAACAGUGCAUCAGUUGCCAUCCUCACCAUCCUACAAGAUCACAAUGCCGAUAUGUCUGUGCGAGAACAUGCAGUUGUGUUGGAAGGGGACAUCGUGCUACAUAACAUUCCAGAUCUCUCUACUGCCCUGGCAUACCUCUUUGGCCUUCUGUAUGCCCUCAACAUUGAUUAUCCAAAGCAGAUGAGUUUUACCUUUGAAGCAAUUGCCAUCUUAUUUUGACCUGGUCGGACAUUAUGAAGGUGAAGUGGAUAAAUCAUUAUUCGAAAUGUAAAUAUGUAUAUGAGAAUAUAUGGUGAAAAUUUCACAAAGCACCCAAAAGAAACUGGCAACACGUUUUUGUUUGUUUGUUAUUUCUUUUCUUUCUUUCUUUUUUUUCUGUUUUUUUUUUUAACAGAAAUUUACCCUACUACCCAUGACAUUCUGAAAUGUACUGAAAAGACUGUUGAACAAAAUAAAUAAGCUUUUAGAUAACAUUGAAUUGUGCUUUGUUUAAUUCUAUAUCUAUUUGAGUGUUUUUUCAAGUAUAAUAACAGCAUACAUUUUCCUUUGUUUAUGUAGGUAAAUUUUCAACUCACC